CUGCAACCAGUUUCUACAAUACACUGAGCAAGAAAGAGCCCUAAGAUCAGGUUUGUCAAGCCACAGAAAACUACUUUUUACCAAGCUGAGGAUUUUCUUUUAAGUACAGUUACACAAAACAUGGGAGUUUCCUGGACAGCAGUGCCUGGUUGUCUCUUCUAUUGUUACUGUUCGAGAACAACCCAUCAAUGGUAACCCAAAUACUUUCUGACCUUAUGUGAAAGACUGACUUGAAACAUACUUUAGAAGAGAAAAAAAUAUUUGAUCACUGAAAAAAAUUUCCUAAUUGAGUAUCUAACCUGACUGUUGGGAAAGAGGUGGAUCUCUAUGAAGACACCAAGACAGAACACAUUCCAACAGGUCCACCACAACCAGAAGCAGGGCACCUACCAACUGUGUGAUGAAUAAAACUGGGCUAAGAUUUGCACAUAGAAAGGAAAUGUCUUGCAUAAGAAUUAAACCUCGUUAAAAGAGACCCACAACUAACCAGCAAGAGGCAUCUCAAUAUAGCUUGAAACUCCUUGAUACAAUUAAAAAAAAAAAUAAAUAAUUGGAACAGUAGUUAUGCCUAUGGGAGACUCAUGACUAGCUGGGUUCAUCCAAAUGAAACAGGAACAUAACAGCUGUAACCUCUGAGAAAGGAAAUUAGAAACAAGAAUAGGAAGUACAAGUAUAUUAUUUAUCAUGGUUAUCAUUUAAUAUUUGUAUCACGCUAACUGCUGAUAAAGAGUUUUGUCCUCACUAGCCAAUGAUUUCUUGACAGUCUAAUCUGGGAGUCUCUGGAAAGCCCCCUGUUACACUAACACGUACACUAAUCAAACUGACUUGUUAUUGCCAAAAGACUACCGGAAUACUUUUGGAUUAGAAAAUCAACAUGAUCAUGUUUCUAGUGAAUGAGAGACAAGAUACUGUCACAAAAUAAAAAAAAAAAUCACAGAUCUUUGGACUGGGUGGGCAGGGAUGGGAGAAAAGCUUUACCCAAACUAGUACAAUGAUACCUUCCUGCAACUGUAGCUGCUCUGUGUUCUUGAAGGCAUUCAUACCUUUCUGAGGCAGAUGUGAAGCAAUUCACAAGUCUGGUUAUUUUCACAGCUGAUAACUCAGAAUUCAGCAAUUACAUUGAUUCUGGAGAUUCUUUAUCAGUUCUGCUGCAAGGGAAGAUGCAGUCUUUGGAGCCAGAAAUGGAGAGUAGAAUAUCGAAGAGGUUAGUCUUCAAACUUGACUUGUUUGAAGAGACCAAUCCCAAAGAUAGGUCCUGGAAAGUAUCAGGAACAUCACUGAAACAGGAAUGCCCACAGAAUUGCAACGAGCUGAGGCCACAGACCACAGGCACAGCAACAUUUUCAAGGAGAGGUUGUCUUCACUUUUAGUCCAACAGUAACAAGUCCAAAAAAAUAAGAAGCACCUACACUGUGAAGAAAAAGGGACUGGCCAGCCACUGAGAGACAAACCAAAGCAAGUGGUCCCUGCUGGUCUUUCACCAACUACUCCUUUGGUAUCUUUCACUUUGACCUAUGCUUUAGCUAUUUUCGGUGGAAAUGACCCUAUGCAGACCCAAAAGCAGCUUCUUACAGUAACAGCUCAACUGCAAGCCAAAAUUUUAACACGUAUUAGCUACCAGCCAAAAUGAAGAUUGGAACUGGGAUUGUAUACUCUCUAAACUGAUGAAAUUUUUCAUGCCAAUUGAAAUUACUUAUUCAAUUACAUUCUCUUCAGAACUAACAAGCAGUUCUAUCUUAACUGUUUUCUGUUGUUUGCUUGGGUCUUUUAAGGGUGUUCUCAUUUCUACACUAGCUAAACCCAAAGGACUCCAUGCAUCACUUUAGUAAGUCUAUUUGCUUAUUCAGCAGGUAAGAAGGUAGAGAGGUGACAGUCCUUUCAGAGACACAGCAUACUUUAAAUAAAUUAAAAGCCAAAGCUAUGGGUAGGUUAGCAAGCCAUUCAUUGUUCCAGUGGGUUCUGAAGACUCUGUUAUCAGGGUAUCACCCUCCUUUCCCUCAUACUGUAAAAGAUGAUCCAUAAAAAUGUCCUCUUCCUGACUGGCAGCUUGUUACAUUGAAGUCCCUCUUAACACGUAGGCCAAGCGUAAGAGCCCACACAGGACUGUGUCAUGUUUAUGGCAAGAAGACUAACACCAAGAUUCUUAGAUAAACCAUGACAUUCUGACCACAUGCUAUUUUGCGGCGAACACCUAUGCCAUUUUAAUGACAGGUACCAGGACAGAAAGCAACACCAGCAAGAGACAACGCUGUUCAUUUCAGUGAACCUGAGAAGGGAAGAGUAAAGCAGCUAUGACAAGAAAGUGAAUGAGGCUUCUGAGCAGCAGCAGGGUGACAAUUUAGAUAUCCACUUUCAAACCCAAGGUCAAACAUUCUUUCCUUCCUCCCUCAUUGCUUUUACUUUCUGGAGAUCCGCACUGGAUGUCAACAGCCAUUUUCCCUCCAAGUAAGCAGUUUUCCAUUGUGAUUUGGUGAAGUCAUGACAGACAACAGGUGUCUCAAGAUUUUCAAUCAACACACUAUAUAUAAAAUCCUAUACAAAAGGAUCCUCUCUACACUUUUGAUCUGUUGUUUCUCUAACUGAUGCACUACAGGAACUGAAGUUGCAUCUGCUUGGGACAGAAGCAAUACAAGAGCUAACAAGCAAAGGACCUCGCUGUUCCAGAUUUGGGUUCUGCUCGGCCUUUGCAGACAAGGUCUACGCUAGUAAGUUUUUAUAGUGCUGGUCCCUUACUAAAUUCAGCAGAUGCCACCAAAGGACAAAUACUAAUGCACUUUUAAUAUUUUAAGAUCGGUAUUUUUUUCUCACCUCCCAAAAAGAAGAAAAAUGCUUGACACUUUUGAUAUGUCCAUUUGCCAGAGAAUGUGCUCCUCUGUAAUUUUUAGUAAACACAAAAGAAACGUUAAUCUCAUUUUCUCUGUUGUCUCAGAGCCUUUCCUUAACAGUAAUUCAAUGGAUAUGAUCCUGAAAGUUGCUGCUGCAAACUAACUCCCAGAAUUGGGAAUCCCCUCCUUUUAGAGGCUUAUGACUUUAGGACAGCAGAGACUAAGACCACGACAACAAUAUAGAAGCAGCAGCACUUGCUAAAGUAAUCCGGUUUUCUCAGAUGUAACUUUAGACAGACAGCAGCUCUGAGGGCAGAUAAGGACAAGCCUCUUCAAUGAGCACUGAGGUUUCAAUGACUUUCAAUAACUUCUAAGCACUAAGAGAGGAUCAUCUUUUAAUUUAGGUGCCUAGGAUGUGGUGUCCUACGAUUUCCUUCAGAAAAGCCUCACCAUGUUGCAUUUACUCUACACUGUAACUUUAAGCAUCUCAUACAGUUUUGCUGAUUUUUCCUCCCUUUUCAUUCAUAUCCACCUUAAGAGGAAGAUAUACAAGUAUGAGAGCAGGUACUAGUCUAGCUGACUAUUGAAAAAAAAUGAAAAAAAGUGUCAAAAUGUUAUCUGUGUAGCUAUGUAUUUUUAACCAUACCUCUAUUGCCCCUUUUUAGAGUGUUUAGCACAAGACCAGUCAAAGAAAUCACUAAGAACUAGAAGCAAUGGAUUUUUUCAGGUACGCUUAUUAAAUCCUACCAGGUCUCAAAGCAA